UUGCGUGAUGACAAAAGGCCUAUUGGCCUGAAUCUAAUCCCAGCUCGUCGAAUGCCUCACACAAACAACGCUUAGAGUGCAUAAUGAGAGAAACUCUUUCCUGAUAGA
rnacentral:snoRNA from 1 species